UUGAUCAACGCAGCUUCAACAGUCGUUGGAUUCGACAUUGAAGGCAGCUCCAUUGGCGUAAAUGGCAUAUCUUCCAGUGGAGUAAGACACAAGAUCAGUCUUGUCACCCCAUCCUGCCUCUGUCUGUUGUCAUGGAUACUAUCAAACCAGCAAUAGCAUUAGGGCUGUUUUUACAAUUUUAAUUUUAAUCACAACAUGACUUCCAUCACUGGAAUGAUUUUUUUUUAAAUUUAUGGUGAAAUACUCUGUUGGUUCAAAAGGAUUCAUGAUGUCUUCAGUCUUGUUCAGCUUCAGAUGAACUUGAUAUAAAAUGUAACUUUGAGUAACGCGUCCAUUCAAUCAUCAUUAGACCAAUAGGCCAGACAUGUAACAUUACCCCAGGAAU